rnacentral:rRNA from 1 species
AAACUAACAAGGAUUCCCCUAGUAGCGGCGAGCGAAGCGGGAAAAGCUCAAAUUUGUAAUCUGGCGCUUUCGGCGUCCGAGUUGUAAUCUCGAGAAGUGUUUUCCGCGUCAGACCGCACACAAGUCUCCUGGAACGGAGCGUCACAGUGGUGAGAACCCAGUACACGGUGCGGAUGCCUGAUGCUUUGUGAUACACUUUCGAAGAGUCGAGUUGUUUGGGAAUGCAGCUCAAAUUGGGUGGUAAAUUCCAUCUAAAGCUAAAUAUUGGCGAGAGACCGAUAGCGAACAAGUACCGUGAGGGAAAGAUGAAAAGCACUUUGGAAAGAGAGUUAACAGUACGUGAAAUUGUUGGAAGGGAAACGCUUGAAGUCAGACUUGCUAUUCGGAGCUUGCUUCGAUUCGCAGGCCCGCAUCAGUUUUCCGGGGCGGAAAAUCGUAAGGAGAAGGUAGCAGUUUCGGCUGUGUUAUAGCUCUUUACUGGAUUCGUCCUGGGGGACUGAGGAACGCAGCGUGCUUUUUGCAUGGGCUUCGGCCUAUCCACGCUUAGGAUGCGGGUGGAAUGGCUUUAAACGAC